CCGGCGGGAGCGUCGUUGCUAGGUGACGUCAGCGCGCCGGCCGACGCGCGGACGCGACAGCCGGUGUAGGAGGGGGGAGGGGGCCGCGCUCGAGCUCGCCAGCCCGGUGUAGGAUAUAUCACCAUCCUGCAAGAUGAGUAACAGCCAUCCACUCCGUCCUUACACAGCAGUAGGUGAAAUAGACCAUGUUCACAUUCUGUCCGAUCAUGUUGGUGUUCUGAUGAAUGGGGAGGAGUACAGUGAUGUUACCUUUAUAGUGGAAAAGAAACGUUUUCCUGCACACAGAGUGAUUCUGGCAGCGAGGUGCCAAUAUUUCAGAGCAUUAUUAUAUGGUGGAAUGCGUGAAUCUCAGCCUGAAGCAGAAAUCCCUCUCCAAGACACCACUGCAGAGGCCUUUACAAUGUUGUUAAAAUAUAUUUACACAGGCCGUGCCACAUUAAGAGAUGAGAAGGAGGAGGUCCUAUUAGACUUCCUGAGUUUAGCACAUAAAUACGGAUUCCCAGAACUGGAAGAUUCCACCUCUGAGUAUCUUUGCACCAUCCUUAACAUUCAGAACGUUUGUAUGACUUACGACGUUGCUAGUCUGUAUUUGCUUCCCAAGCUUACAUGUAUGUGCUGCAUGUUUAUGGACAGAAAUGCUCAAGAGGUGCUCUCCAGUGAAGGUUUUCUGUCACUUUCUAAGCCAGCUCUUCUCAGUAUUGUACUGAGGGAUUCAUUUGCAGCACCUGAGAAGGAUAUUUUCCAAGCUUUGAUGAACUGGUGUAAACACAACCCGAAGGAAAAUCAUGCAGAAAUCAUGCAGGCAGUGCGCUUGCCACUGAUGAGUUUGACAGAGCUCUUAAAUGUUGUAAGGCCUUCUGGAUUGCUGUCGCCUGAUGCCAUUUUGGAUGCUAUUAAAGUUCGAUCUGAAAGUCGGGAUAUGGACCUCAACUAUAGGGGCAUGUUAAUACCAGGUGAGAACAUUGCCACUAUGAAAUAUGGAGCCCAGGUAGUGAAAGGGGAAUUGAAAUCUGCUUUGUUAGAUGGAGACACACAGAAUUAUGAUUUGGAUCAUGGAUUUUCCCGACACCCCAUUGAUGAUGACUGCCGUUCUGGUAUUGAAAUUAAAUUGGGUCAGCCAUCGAUAAUUAAUCAUAUACGUAUACUGCUAUGGGAUCGUGAUAGCAGGUCUUACUCCUAUUAUAUUGAGGUGUCCAUGGACGAGCUAGACUGGAUCCGUGUAAUCGACCACUCCAGAUAUCUCUGUCGCUCUUGGCAGAAGCUGUAUUUUCCUGCCCGUGUCUGCAGGUACAUCAGAAUAGUUGGAACACACAACACAGUGAACAAAGUUUUCCAUAUCGUGGCUUUUGAAUGCAUGUUCACCAACAAAACCUUCACACUUGAGAAAGGCCUGAUAGUUCCCACUGAGAACGUUGCAACUGUUGCAGACUGUGCCAGUGUGAUUGAGGGCGUAAGCCGAAGUCGCAAUGCCUUGCUGAAUGGAGACACAAAGAACUACGACUGGGAUUCUGGGUAUACAUGCCAUCAGCUAGGCAGUGGUGCUAUCGUAGUGCAGUUGGCACAGCCUUACAUGAUUGGAUCAAUUCGGUUACUUCUCUGGGAUUGUGACGACAGAAGCUACAGCUAUUACAUUGAAGUUUCCACUAACCAGCAGCAGUGGACUAUGGUGGCUGACAGAACAAAGGUUUCCUGCAAAUCUUGGCAAGUAAUAACUUUUGACAGACAAGCAGCAUCUUUUAUCAGAAUUGUUGGAACUCACAACACAGCUAAUGAGGUGUUUCAUUGUGUACAUUUUGAAUGCCCAGCUCAAACUGCUGCCCACAAGGAGGAAGGCUGUGAGGAAGACAUGUGCACAAGUGGGCAGCAGCUGGCAUCCCGUCCACCUCGAGCUUCGAGUGCCAGCUCUGUGCACUCUCUCCCAGGAUCCACUUCACACCCAUGAGCUCACCAAGCCUAUAAAGAGCGCGAAUAAAAACAAGCAAUGAGCUUGGGGGUGCAAAGCCACAUCUUCUAGUGGGCAACCAUGUGGGUGCCACAUGCCAUUGAAUGCAAUCAGCCUGAAGAUCUUUACGAAAAUCGAAAAUGAUUGCAAGGGAAGAAUGUGUUGUGUAAUAGAUUAAUAACAAUACAGUAGUAUAUUUAAGCCAGUUCUGUUCCUCUUUAGCGGGAUAUGCUUGUUGCUUAACUGUCUCUUGUGUCCAUGCUAGUGGUGUCCCUGAAUGCAUCCCUUUACUUUCCUCCUCCACACUUGGGAGUCCACCCCACCCUGCCAUGACCAACUAUGAGAAUGUCCUUCCUUCCCCUUCUGAAGACAACUACAGGGUUGUGGGAAUGGGGCAUCCCUGUCCUACACAUUACUCAUGACAGGCAUGUGGCCAUUGAGUCACAUCCUCGUUUCCACACAAAGCAGGCCCAAACCGAUGUUUUACUGUGCAUGCACCAAGUUGUUGAAUGCUUGGGAGUGGGUGGGUAGUGUUUGUGUCAUUAAUUGUCCUUUUUAUGUGUGCAAGAACGACUUUUAUAUGCAAAGGGAAAUGUGUUCAUUCCUCGCUAGGAUAGAACGAUCGGUUUUGAAAACAGGAAUUCCCCUUGACUCAAAUAAAAAAUGGAUUGCCAGUUAGAAGCAGCACUGGAGAAUGCUAUAUGCAAAUAAAUAUUUUUUCACAAGA